rnacentral:lncRNA from 1 species
CAUCAUCUUUUUGUGUGUCGUUGAAUGAGUGGAGCUCAUUUCCUAUCGAUUGUAUGCUGACAGUUUUCUAGUUUUCUUCUCCCGGUGUUUCUAGUCUUACAGUCUUAUUAGUGAUAUCAAGAUUGUAAAACUGUCAUCAUUUGAGUACUUCUGGUAUUCUUUUCACUUGAAUGAGAAUUUCAUAUUUACUUAAAAAAAAAAA